UACAUAGGGUGCGAGCGUUGUCCGGAAUUAUUGGGCGUAAAGAGCUCGUAGGUGGUUAGUUACGUCGGGUGUGAAACUCUGGGGCUCAACCCCAGGCCUGCACUCGAUACGGGCUAGCUAGAGUUUGGUAGGGGAGACUGGAAUUCCUGGUGUAGCGGUGGAAUGCGCAGAUAUCAGGAGGAACACCAAUGGCGAAGGCAGGUCUCUGGGCCAAUACUGACACUGAGGAGCGAAAGCGCGGGGAGCGAACAGGAUUAGAUACCCUGGUAGUCCGCGCCGUAAACGGUGGGCGCUAGUUGUGGGGACCUUCCACGGUCUCUGCGACGCAGCUAACGCAUUAAGCGCCCCGCCUGGGGAGUACGAUCGCAAGAUUAAAACUCAAAGGAAUUGACGGGGCCCCGCACAAGCAGCGGAGCAUGCGGCUUAAUUCGACGCAACGCGAAGAACCUUACCAAGGCUUGACAUAUACCGAAAAGCAGCAGAGAUGUUGUGUCCGCAAGGGCGGUAUACAGGUGGUGCAUGGUUGUCGUCAGCUCGUGUCGUGAGAUGUUGGGUUAAGUCCCGCAACGAGCGCAACCCUCGUUCUGUGUUGCCAGCAUUAAGUUGGGGACUCACAGGAGACUGCCGUGGUCAACACGGAGGAAGGUGGGGAUGACGUCAAAUCAUCAUGCCCCUUAUGUCUUGGGCUGCACGCAUGCUACAAUGGCAGGUACAAAGGGCUGCAAUACCGUAAGGUGGAGCGAAUCCCAAAAAGUCUGUCUCAGUUCGGAUUGAGGUCUGCAACUCGACCUCAUGAAGUCGGAGUUGCUAGUAAUCGUAGAUCAGCAACGCUACGGUGAAUACGUUCCACGGGGCU
rnacentral:rRNA from 1 species